rnacentral:misc_RNA from 1 species
AACACUGUUAACCUGCGGUACCUGCGGAAGGAUCAUUAACCGUUACAAACAGUGUGUGAUGCGGCCGCCGAGGUGAAUAGCCUCUGGUUGGUAUGGGGUUCGCCCCUUCACGCUCACGCGUCUGCCAUCCUUACUUUACGAGCACCCUCUGUUCUCCCUCGGCAAGGGCCUCGCCCUGCCGUUGGAACUACAAAACUCUUUUUUGCAUCUAGCAUUACCUGUUCCGACAAAAACAAUCGU